rnacentral:tRNA from 1 species
GUUUUAAUAGUUUAAUAAAAAACAAUGAUUUUGUAAAUCGUAAUUAGGAUAAUUCCUUUAAAACU